CGAGGGGAGCAAACUCUCGGAGGCAAAGGAUCUUCCUCCGUCUACAAGAUCACUUCCGGCGUCGCUACCGUACGAAUCGACUCUUCCGCGAUCGGUUGCUGGAGACGGUGGCAACAACACCGACAGUCUUUGAACCCAGUUGUCAUCUCUAAAUACGAAACCUUUAAGGUUUCACAGCACUGGGCAAACACACACUCCGUAGAAAAAGAUAAAAGCUUUUGUGUAUCUUUCGAGCUUACGAGUCAUCUUUAAACGUACGGCACCAGAUGUUAGCUUUGGAUGUGUUGAUGUCAAGAGAAAGAAAGUAGAGAUUGCAGGAUUUGUCAUCUUCCUUUCGAGAAGAUAGUUCGAAUGAAUAAGAAGAAGACGAAGAAAAAGCAAGAGAAGGUGAAGAUGAAGAAGAGCAAUUGGGUUGCCUUUGCAAUUAGGUUGCUCUUGUAAAGGUAAUUUGGAUGUAGCUCACAGUAAGUGUGCUGAAACUCGGUUCAAGAUCAAAGAAACAUGACAUGUGAGAUAUGUGGCGCAACGGCUAUAAACGUUGCUGGCGAACAGUCAAACCAAGAGAGCAAUGCCUCUGCCCAUUCACAAACAACUGCAGGACAAACUCAGACAGAGACACGGGGAACCUGGCAUGGUCGCUGUGUUAUGAACUUCUUACUUGCCGCUAUGAUCUUUGCCUUCAUUGUUACUUGUUUUUUUUUUAAAGACCCCUGGAUAAGAGACUAUCAUUGGUGCACAAAAUCAAAAUGUUUCUUAACUAAGGUUUUUAAUUACUAAAAUAAUCAAUAAGAGAUUCUA